rnacentral:lncRNA from 1 species
CCUCAUUCCAGCAUCCAAGGCAACACCGUUUCUGUCCGUUUGCCCAAAACAAAACCCGAGCUGCAAAGGAUUGAUUUAUCCCGCGGACUCUGGCAGGCCGGCCUGUCCACCAGCACCGUCUGCACGCAGCGGGGACAACUUAGCACGUCUCGAAGCCGCUCCGCUCCCCUCUGCCGCCCACCUGUCUCUUGGCUCCCCCUGCAUCCUGGGGCCUGGCCCAGCACUCGUCUUUGUCCUUGGCCCUGGGCUUAAGGAGAAGCUUAAGCUUUCUGCAACCUGGCAGCCUCCAUCCUAAAGCCUUCUCUCACCCGGUGGGCUUAGCCAGAGAGGACCCCGAUGCUGUCGGGGAAACAUUUCCGACCCCAGACCAGGACAAGAGCGGCUUGGCUGAAGAGGCGCGAGGUGAGACUUCCCCAACGUGCCCCCCCCCAUUAUCACGAUGAUUAUUUUAUCAUCACAGACGCCCCCGCCUAAUGUCGUUCCAAGACCUUGAAUCUCUCUAGACCUAAGCCUGUCCAAGUCGGGCUGUG